rnacentral:rRNA from 1 species
ACGGGUGCGGAACACGUACGCAACCUUCCUUCAAAUGGGGGAUAGCCCACCGAAAGGUGGAUUAAUACCCCGUAAGAUUUUCUGGUGGCAUCACCGGAUCAUUAUAGCUCCGGCGUUUGAAGAUGGGCGUGCGGCUGAUUAGGUAGUUGGCGGAGUAACAGCCCACCAAGCCAACGAUCAGUAACUGGUGUGAGAGCACGACCAGUCACACGGGCACUGAGACACGGGCCCGACUCCUACGGGAGGCAGCAGUAAGGAAUAUUGGUCAAUGGACGCAAGUCUGAACCAGCCAUGCCGCGUGGAGGAUGAAGGUCCUCUGGAUUGUAAACUUCUUUUAUCGGAGAAGAAACCCUAGCAUUCUUGCUGGGUUGACGGUACCCGAUGAAUAAGCACCGGCUAACUCCGUGCCAGCAGCCGCGGUAAUACGGAGGGUGCAAGCGUUAUCCGGAUUCACUGGGUUUAAAGGGAGCGUAGGUGGGUUGGUAAGUCAGUGGUGAAAUCUCCGGGCUUAACUCGGAAACUGCCGUUGAUACUAUCAGUCUUGAAUAUUGUGGAGGUAAGCGGAAUAUGUCAUGUAGCGG